UAUGUGAUCGUCUCUCGCAUAUCAAUAAGCGGAGGAAAAGAAACUAACAAGGAUUCCCCUAGUAACGGCGAGUGAAGCGGGAAGAGCUCAAAUUUGAAAUCUUAAAGGGUUUCCCUUUACGAAUUGUAGUUUAAAGAAGUGUUUUCUGUUGAGGUUUUGGUAAAAGUUCUUUGGAAUAGGACAUCAUAGAGGGUGAGAAUCCCGUAUUUGACCUUUACUUUCAACUUUGUGAUACACCUUUCAAAGAGUCGGAUUGUUUGGGAAUGCAGUCCAAAAUGGGUGGUAAAUUUCAUCUAAAGCUAAAUAUUGGCGAGAGACCGAUAGCGAACAAGUACCGUGAGGGAAAGAUGAAAAGAACUUUGAAAAGAGAGUUAAACAGUACGUGAAAUUGUCAAAAGGGAAGCGUUUGACACCAGUGUUGUUUUUCUGAAAAUCAAUUAAAGAACUGUUUAUGCUAAGCUGUUUAGACUUUAUCAGCUAUCUGUUUAGUUUUGAGCUUUUCUUUAAUGCACUUUUCAGUUAACAAGUCAACAUCAAUUUCUUUUGCUGUAAAAAAGCUUGAGGAAGGUGGCUUGAGAUUCGUCUUAAGUGUUUAUAGCCUCUUGCCUAUGCAGUCGGAGAGAUUGAGGUCUGCAGCGUAGAUCCUUCGGGGCUAAAUGCAUUUGUGCUAAGUUAUAGCAUUUUAUAGACAACUUGUUGACUAUGAUUUGUCUUGUAGCUUACUCGCUUAUGUUAUUUUACCUACGCUUAGGAUGUUGAUCUACAGAGCGAGAGU
rnacentral:rRNA from 1 species